UGAAGGUUAAGCAUUAUCAAAGUUUUAUUUUUAAAAUGUAUUACAGAGGAACAGUAGUACAAUUUAAACAGAAAAAGGAGAAUUUAAUUUUGAAAACCUUGAAAAAACAUAUAAAGAGUAACCUGACUUGUUUUGUGUUUGGGGUUGAGCCCAAGAAAGGCCCAUUGGUUUUGCAUCACUGUAGUUUGAAAAGAGAGUUGAAAAAUACACCUUUUAAAAAAAGCUUGUUUCUGUAUUAGUGUUUUGUUUGUUUUGUCCAUUAUAGUACAGCAUAAUAAAAUCUAAAACAAUACAUCAUUUUGAGAUCAUCGGUGGUACAGUAAGGGAGUCAAAGGAUAGUAUAAAAACAAGAAACAGGGUGGUUUGAUGGAUAAGCACAGGUGUGAACACACACACACAGACCCAGAGAGGAGAGAGGAAGGCUAGGGUUGUGUUCAUUAGGGCACAACGUUGCAACACAUUUUGCAACGGAAAACAAAAACCAGUGUUUCUUAUUGGACAAGUACAGAUAGCAUAGCACCUCCCCGUUUCACUUGUUUUCCGUUUUGUGCCUUCUGAACGCAACCAAGACACGACACAAAGCCAGGCCAAGGUUUUAAACAAGCUAACUGCAGCGGACUGUGUUCCAUUAACUAAAAUCAACUAGUUACAUUUUUUUUCUUCCCACAGUGAUUUGAAGCUAAAUCAUAUUUUACAAACAGGGAUGAGAAACUUACUAUAGGUUUCCAUUAAAUACAUUUGCACUUUGAAAAAAGGGAGAUCAAACAUUUCUGUAUAAUUUUAGCACUUCAAUAUAUAUCCACUGCAUAUGGACAGAAACGGCUGUUCCUACAUUUCAAACAAUCCAUAUUUCUUAUAAAAUAUGUUCUUAAUGAAAUAAAAAGGAAAAGGAAAUACAUCUUUGUAAAGGACAAAUAAAACUAUAUAUGUAUCUAGGGUAAAGUGAAUGAUUAUUUUUUUUAUAAAAACAUUUAAAUCUGACGAUUACAUACACAAGCAAGGAUCUACAUACUAUAGAAUUUACCUGGCUUUUUUUUAAUACACCAUCUCAACAAUAAUAAACAUUUUUUUUGGGACAAACAGAUAGAAAUUAACAGUCUUGAUUGCAUUUUGGAGUCAAUAUAAUAUUAAAUAACAAAAUGUCUUAGAAAAUGUUCCGCAAGGAAGAGAAAAGACAGUUUUAAUAUUGUUCCAUUCAGACCUUCUUUGGGGAAGCAAAAAAAAGACAAAAUGAUUUUCAUGAACGCCAAAACAAUAAGUAAGUGCAUGUCUAUGAUGGCCAUAGAGCUUCACUUUAUAUCUAACAAAGUGUUUUCCUACCUGGCAGACAAAAUAAAAAGACUUAACAAAUUCAAUAAAAACUGAUUGUAAAAAUAUCAUCACUUUUGAAAAUGGAGUUUCUCUUUCAGACUUCAUAAAUCACAUAUUAUGAUCUAUCAGCACUCUUCAAAUACCACCUUACACCCAAUGUUCAAGUUAAUAAUAGCAUAUACAUACAUAUAUACUCAGUACCUAACAUAAACCAUGUGUAUA
rnacentral:lncRNA from 1 species